CACGGGGGGAGCAAGCGUUGUUCGGAUUCAUUGGGCGUAAAGGGUGCGUAGGUGGCGGUGUAAGUCUAACGUGAAAUCUCGGGGCUCAACCUCGAAAUUGCGUCGGAUACUGCAUUGCUAGAGGAUUGUAGAGGAGAGUGGAAUUCAUGGUGUAGCAGUGAAAUGCGUAGAUAUCAUGAGGAAGACCAGUUGCGAAGGCGACUCUCUGGGCAACUCCUGACACUGAGGCACGAAGGCUAGGGGAGCAAACGGG
rnacentral:rRNA from 1 species